rnacentral:rRNA from 1 species
AUGGAUGAUUACAUCCAGAGGCUUCAAGGGUUGGGCUUGCUGGAUUCGAGGGGGAAUGCAAUCUGCGAGUUCAAUCUGCCCCAUGACAGUGCCGCUCCGGCAGCAGCAACACGUCCAGAAUACCCGACGGUGGUAGAUGUCGAACUGAAGACGGAAUUGAAGAAGAUGAACAAGAACUUCAAGCAACUGAUUGAGUUGAAGAAGCAAUCCAAUCUGAUAGCUUUAGGAAUACUUGCUCUAGGAUUUUUUUACUUGAUGGCCAUCUCUCGUUAG